AGAGUUUGAUCCUGGCUCAGGAUGAACGCUGGCGGCGUGCUUAAUACAUGCAAGUCGAGCGAAGCGCUUAGCAAGAUUUCUUCGGGAUGAAAGUUAAGUGACUGAGCGGCGGACGGGUGAGUAACGCGUGGGUAACCUGCCUUAUACAGGGGGAUAACAGCUAGAAAUGACUGCUAAUACCGCAUAAGCGCACAGGAUCGCAUGGUCUGGUGUGAAAAACUCCGGUGGUAUAAGAUGGACCCGCGUCUGAUUAGCUAGUUGGUGGGGUAACGGCUACCAAGGCGACGAUCAGUAGCCGGCCUGAGAGGGUGGACGGCCACAUUGGGACUGAGACACGGCCCAGACUCCUACGGGAGGCAGCAGUAGGGAAUAUUGCACAAUGGGGGAAACCCUGAUGCAGCGACGCCGCGUGAAGGAAGAAGUAUCUCGGUAUGUAAACUUCUAUCAGCAGGGAAGA
rnacentral:rRNA from 1 species